AUUGAANGCUGGCGGCAUGCCUUACACAUGCAAGUCGAACGGCAGCACGGGUGCUUGCACCUGGUGGCGAGUGGCGAACGGGUGAGUAAUACAUCGGAACAUGUCCUGUAGUGGGGGAUAGCCCGGCGAAAGCCGGAUUAAUACCGCAUACGAUCUACGGAUGAAAGCGGGGGACCUUCGGGCCUCGCGCUAUAGGGUUGGCCGAUGGCUGAUUAGCUAGUUGGUGGGGUAAAGGCCUACCAAGGCGACGAUCAGUAGCUGGUCUGAGAGGACGACCAGCCACACUGGGACUGAGACACGGCCCAGACUCCUACGGGAGGCAGCAGUGGGGAAUUUUGGACAAUGGGCGAAAGCCUGAUCCAGCAAUGCCGCGUGUGUGAAGAAGGCCUUCGGGUUGUAAAGCACUUUUGUCCGGAAAGAAAUCCUUGGCUCUAAUACAGUCGGGGGAUGACGGUACCGGAAGAAUAAACACCGGCUAACUACGUGCCAGCAGCCGCGGUAAUACGUAGGGUGCGAGCGUUAAUCGGAAUUACUGGGCGUAAAGCGUGCGCAGGCGGUUUGCUAAGACCGAUGUGAAAUCCCCGGGCUCAACCUGGGAACUGCAUUGGUGACUGGCAGGCUAGAGUAUGGCAGAGGGGGGUAGAAUUCCACGUGUAGCAGUGAAAUGCGUAGAGAUGUGGAGGAAUACCGAUGGCGAAGGCAGCCCCCUGGGCCAAUACUGACGCUCAUGCACGAAAGCGUGGGGAGCAAACAGG
rnacentral:rRNA from 1 species